rnacentral:rRNA from 1 species
ACGAACGCUGGCGGCGUGCUUAACACAUGCCAGUCGAACGAAGCUUGAUUACGGAUUCUUCGGAUGAAGUAUGAUAUGACUGAGUGGCGGACGGGUGAGUAACGCGUGAGUAACCUGCCCUUCAGAGGGGGAUAGCGUUUGGAAACGAACGGUAAUACCGCAUAAUGUAUUUUGACCGCAUGAUCGAAAUACCAAAGAUUUAUCGCUGAAGGAUGGACUCGCGUCUGAUUAGGUAGUUGGUGGGGUAACGGCCUACCAAGCCGACGAUCAGUAGCCGGACUGAGAGGUUGAUCGGCCACAUUGGGACUGAGACACGGCCCAGACUCCUACGGGAGGCAGCAGUGGGGAAUAUUGCACAAUGGGCGCAAGCCUGAUGCAGCAACGCCGCGUGAAGGAAGACGGUUUUCGGAUUGUAAACUUCUGUUCUUAGUGAAGAAUAAUGACGGUAGCUAAGGAGCAAGCCACGGCUAACUACGUG